GUCGAUCAGCCGAGAGCUGUUUACAGGGCCCUGUCCAGGUGACGAUAGCAUCCUGCAGCUCCUCGCUCAGUUCCCAAGUCGGUCCUCGGGGAGAGGCUCCCUGCCUGUGAGUAUCUCCCCUUGCCUUCCCCAGGCAGCGUGAUCCUGGAGAAACCAUUUCCAUUUUACUUUGGAACUCCUCUGGGCACUGCCAGGCCCAUUAGAGCGCUUCUCCGACAUCACCCAAGACACUGUGGGCAUUUCAGGCUUCAGGAUCAUUGUGUGUCCUUCGGUCAUCGGGGUAGCUUCCAUUAACGUCCAACAGCAAGUACAAAGUUGUAUAUUCUAGCUGGGAGUGCUCCUGGUCAUCCUACAUGGGACGCCGCCUCAGCCUGGCCUGAUGAGCGGUGCCAUGUCCGUGCCCAGGGGCUGAACCAGUGAAACCCUGGGCUGCCGGAGCAGAGCGCGCGAAUUUAACCACUCGUCCACUCGGCCGGCCCCAGCAGGGGAUCUUAUAGAGCUAAGGGGCUUGGCAGGAGGAGUUUCAAGAAACAAAGAGGUAAUCCAUGCUUCUUUCACUCCAGAUUAGCCCUGAGCUAACAUCUGCUGCCAAUCCUCCUCUUUUUGCUGAGGAAGACUGGCCCUGAGCUAACAUCCGUGCCCAUCUUCCUCUACUUUGUAUGUGAGAUGCCU
rnacentral:lncRNA from 1 species